rnacentral:lncRNA from 1 species
UCCUUAGCUUGCUUAAUUCUCUUUGUAAAGGAUUCACCAGUACUCCAAAAUCCGCUUUAUCUUCUUUCUAUUUAAGAAAAACAAAAAUGGAAAUCCGUUUUUUUCUCCGAUGCUCCUCAAUGAAGAAGUAAUGGCUGCCUCAUAAAUGAUUAAUCUGCCUGUAAUGUAAAAUCCCGAUUCCCGUCCCAUUCAAUAUUUUUAUUUGUGUUGGCUGCAGCAGGCAUUUCCCCAAGUGUCCGUAUUCGGAAAACAACGCGGCUUCUGCAGCGGAGUCCCCGUUCAAAGUUGCACACUUUUAGCAUAGCGACGGACGCGAGAGAAGAACGUGAAACUGAAAAUGACGCUCUCCAUCAUUUACUGUAUUUCUCUACAGCCUCCUCUCACAAUAUGUAAAUCCAAAACACUUCCAAAAAAGAAAAACAAGCGGCCAUAAAAACUAUGUGUGCACUCUCUAGUUUCUUUUUCUUUUCUUAAAUCUUAUGAGCUGACAAAAGGAAGAUUAAAAAUCUUCGUACAAAUACGAUUCCUGGAAUUUGUGCUUAAU